rnacentral:rRNA from 1 species
AACUAUUAGGCUUCGGGGAGUACUGCCAGACUGGAACCGGGAGAGGUAAGAGGUACUACAGGGGUAGGAGUGAAAUCUUGUAAUCCCUGUGGGACCACCUGUGGCGAAGGCGUCUUACCAGAACGGGUUCGACGGUGAGGGACGAAAGCUGGGGGCACGAACCGGAUUAGAUACCCGGGUAGUCCCAGCCGUAAACGAUGCUCGCUAGGUGUCAGGCAUGGCGCGACCGUGUCUGGUGCCGCAGGGAAGCCGCGAAGCGAGCCACCUGGGAAGUACGGCCGCAAGGCUGAAACUUAAAGGAAUUGGCGGGGAGCACAACAACGGGUGGAAGCCUGCGGUUUAAUUGGACUCAACGCCGGACAACUCACCGGGGGCGACAGCAAUAUGUAGGCCAAGCUGAAGACUUUGCCUGAAUCGCUGAGGGGUGGUGCAUGG